GAAAAACCCGUACCACGCCCCUCCUCUCGAUCCAGAGAAAAACCCGUACCACGCCCCCUCCUCUCGAUCCAGAUGCGACCUCUCUCCCGCUCCGCCGCCGCCCCUACUGCUCAGCCGCCGCCCCCUCGAUCUGUUUCCUGUGGCCAGAUCCGGCCGGGGAGCCGCCGUAGAGCCUCCACGUCGUCGGAGCAGAGCAGCCCGAGGUGGGUGCCGAUCUCGUCCCGCAGAUCACCGGCGGGGCCACGACCACCUCAUUCACUGUCGCGGUGGUGUUUCUCCCCGCGUCGCCGUCGUUGGUUCGCCUCACCCUCCUCACCCUGUCGGCUGCAACCGCUCCUACCCUCCACGGUGCUCCUCUUUGGCAUCCACCGCAGGCCAGUGAGCGGCCACGACCAGAAGUCAGGGAGGCCUCUAUUCCUCAUGAACCGGGAUGCGGUUCUGGCUUGUGGGCACAUGAGAGCCUGACGAUUUGAACACUAGCCUGUUUUCUUCUGUAGGAAAGUGGCAUCCUUGACCUGAUGGAAAGUUGGAGACAGACAUCAAAUUGGCUGCGGAUCAUUCUGAAUGCUGGAUUUCAUGCCAUCACUCUGACGAAAGCAUCUGUGCAUCUGUUCUGUUCUGUAUGUUGCCAGCUUGGCCUGCUGCUAUAAAUAUAGCACCAAAUCUACCAGGUUCAAACCAUUCAUUGCCUCAUUAGAAGCCUUCCAGUGUUCAUUGUCGCAAGGUAACCGACUCUUUUGGCUUUCUGCAAGUGUUUUUAUUUUCUCUACUCAUAUGUUCGCUGGAGCCAGGAUAUGUUCAGGCUAAUCAUGCUGGAUUGAGGUGUCAUGGUAGAUGUAUUAACACAUAGGUUGCUGUCUGAUUGUGUUAUUCUACCUCGACUGCAACCGGUCAUGGUCGUCUCUGCGCUGCCGCCCCCUCGCAUCGCGCCGUUGCCUCGCGUAGGACUACGAGCAUGUGACGCUAGGUCGAGGUUUUCUUGUCUCGUCAGGAUUCUCGUGCUGCGAAUUUAGUAAUGGGGCAAUUUUUUGGGUGUCCUAAUUUGUUUGCGGAUUGAUGAGAAUUUGGCGAGGGAGAUCUUAAACCACCUGUCGCUGCGGCACAUCAAUUGUUGAAUUCGCUUGAAGGAGGCGAUGGCGAACAACAUGGGAACAAGGAGGAACUUUACAUCGAGCCGAUGUUUCCUCUCUCCCAUUCUCUUUCCUUUCCGAGCCGUUCACAAUCGUUAGAGGUGGACAUUGAUUGGGAGGGAGGAUAAGAGGCCUCAGAUCGUGGAUCCUCUUUGAUCCGGACCUCCUCGACGCCUUGCGCGCCGUCAUCUACGCAUACUCCACGCGCUCUGGUGCGAAGUGUCCACACAUGCGCCCGACUGGGACGAGCUCGGCGUGCUUCUGCCAGGCCAAAUGGUGCCAUGCCCCUGCUGUUGUGGACCUGUGGUGGUACAUCAGCGAAGAUGAUGAUGAGGUGGCGCUACACGAGCGGUCGUGCCGCCACCCGAUGCACCAUCACGCCUUGCGCAGGGGUGCAAGCAAGAUGGCCUGGUUCAUCAUGUGCGGCGCAUGGAGUGGUCGGCUGGUUGCCAUUGGCUCUAUGAACAUGGCUCGGCCGCUGCCAUCACUGUGAACCGCAUGUUGUUCCUCAGAUGCAACAAGAAUGACUUCUUGGGUUCACUGUACUUUCUAAAUGGUUGUAACUUUUUUGCUUCUGAAGUGUCACAGGAUACCAAAAAUCUCGAUGAUAUAUUAGUCACCUGCAGUCCUUGACAAGAAUUGAUCCAAAGGACGAAGACUUAUAAAGUCCUCAAGCUCAUAAACUACAGGAAGUUGGAAGCAGAGAAAAUGGAUUGGGACAAGGAGCCAGACAGAGGAUGAGGAGGGGCUCAGCGGAACAAAUGGCCAAGGAGAAAAAAAUAGCUAUCGCCACAAGCAUCAGGAUAUGUGGGCUUCAUGUAAGGUUCGUUGCAUUCACCUUAUUGAAGAUAAUAAACACUUAUUGAGGAACAUGCUAAGGAUGGAGGAACGGACGUCAAGUUCCAGUAUGCAGCUCGAUUCAUUGCUCAGGAUAAUUCAGAAUCUAAAAUUUGAAGGUGAGGUAGAGGAAUAUUGCCAUACCUGAGGGCGUCGCUGUCCGGUUUAUUUUUGCUGUUCGGAUCGCUGCAAGGGAUACGGGUGCCAGGACGACACCAUCUUCUGCGGCGUCUUGGACGGGCACGACCAGUGGGGCCACUACGCGGCCAAGGCCGUCCGGGAGUCGCUGCUGCAAUCGCUUCUGUGCCGCUGGCAGGAGGCCGUCGCGCUGGCGUCGCUCAUCGACGGCGAGAAGAGGCUCAGCAACUGCCAGUUCGACCUCUUGAGGCAGUCCUACCUGGCCGCCGCCGCCGCCGUGGACGAGGAGCUCCCCGGAUUCGGCGCCUUGACGCCGACAACAGCGGCUGCACGGCUCUGUCCAUGGUGAAGCAGGGCGACCUGAUGGUGGUCGUGAACGUCGGCGACUCGCGGGCCGUCCGUGCGACCACGUCGGACGACGGGGACGUCACGACCAUCCAGCUCACCGUCGACUUCAUGCCCGACUUACCCCGUAAGUCGUCGUGAGAAGACUAGAAGACGGACAGUCCAUUCCUGACACGGCCAUUGCUCACCCACGUUCGAAUCUGAAUCGGAGAGGAGAAGGCGCGCAUCAUGCAGUGCGAGGGCUGCGUGCACUGCCUCGACGACGAGCCCGGCGUGCACCGGGUGUGGAUGCCCCACCGGGAGGCGCCGGGUCUGGCCAUGUCGCACACGUUCGGCGACUACUGCAUUAAGGACUACGACGUCAUCUCGGCGCCGGAGGUGACGCAGAGGAGGAUCACCGCGCGGGACCAAUUCGUCAUCCUGGCCACCGACGGGGGGUUGUUCAGAAAGCCUCCACGCCCUCGCCACGGAGCGGAUCGGACGGAGCGACCUUCUGACCACUCUGUAGAUUAUAGUGGCAUGCCACUCCGCUCUGGAGCGGAGCUGUGGAGUGGGAGUGAGUCCGAACACACCUUUAGUAUUACAUGGAGUAGUAAUUGCUGGGACCAGAUCCAUGCACCAUCAUCUGAAACCCAUGUAUUCAUGAGGUAAAACUAAGUAGUUGUGGCAGCUUUGGAUGAGACAACCCAAUUCCUGGUAAAUUGGACAUCAUCAAUGAGUUUGUCGAGUUUGAUUGAACUCUCACACUUUGAACAUGCUCUAUUUAAAGCAAGGCCAUCCCUGUCAUAACAGAUACAGUAAAAUGCCAACACAUAUAUGAUUGAUGUUAUGACAAUAUACUUGACUUUGGGGGUGACGAGAUCGACGGAAGCAACAGGAGCCCACAACUCUUGAGUUCAGCGGCGUCUACAUGCCCUACAUUGCCUAGCAUCACCGGCAACAAGUUCAUCGCUGUUUGAGAAGGUGCCCUGCAGGGACAACCUGACACGGCCAUUGCUCACCCACGUUCGAAUCUGAAUCGCAGAGGAGAAGGCGCGCAUCAUGCAGUGCGAGAAGACUAGAAGACGGACAACCUCCGUCGACCUGUCAUCGAACUUCACUGCUUGAGGCAGGAGCAGUGAAUAGCAUUGACCAGUAGGAGCAAGAAGAAGCGUCAGCUACCAUUGCUGGCUGAGCUAGCUGCUAGCUUCGGUUACUUGCGACGGGUUGUGGGCUGCAAGUUAGAAGAAUCGGUGCUGAAAACGUCUUCUGAAUGUUAAAAAGCCAAUGGGGUAGAAAGCUAUGGAGAUAAUUGAUUUGUUUCCAUAUCUAUCUUUCUGUAUUCAGACUCGGGGGGAGAAGGUGCUUCAUGCUGAUGGUGUAUAUAAGCUUGGCACAGGUAUGGACUUCAAUGUCAGGUUUUGGUGAGUAGCCCGAGCUUCCUGUUUUCUCUACAGAUUCAGAAUGAAAAGAAAAACAAUCAAUUUCAGAGUUUAUUGCAGAAUUUAGAAGAUCAAUGUAUUGUUGCAUUUUCACCUGUCGGCAUGUUUAAUAGACCAUUUUCUAAUGUUUUGGUGACCUGAUGUAUUGAUUCUUGGGGUGUGUGACCAACUGAUCAUGCAGUAUGUACUUUCAUCUAUUUCUAAAUAGAUGGUGUUUUUGUACAUAGUGAAGAAGCAUUGCAAGACUCCAUCAGAAAAUGGACCCGCGGUAGACUGCAUCCGCAUCGGCGCAUGGGCGAUGCCGACAUUGGACAGCGGCAGAGCGUGCAAAGUCUGCGCUUCUGACGGACCUUCACCACCAAUUGCCAUGCUCUCUACCAUCCUUCUCGCUCCUCCCCAUCUCUAUGCCACAGCUCGCAGGCUAGCCCAACCUCUGCUGCCUUCCUUUCUGCCUCACCUCCCCUGAACUAUCUGCGCCGGCGGGACCUUCUUUUGUGAGACAGGAACUUGGGCGUGGUUCAGUCUUUUUUUGGGGGCUCAGUUCAGUCUGUGGUAUGGUUCAGUUUAAUGAAAUAACGAAGAUGACUUGCGUGACCCGCUCCUGUGUGAGAUAGAAAAUUGGGCUUGCAGUCUGGGCUUGCAGAGUUGCAGUUCAGUUAUGGUGUGGUUAAGUUGAGAGUAAAAGAUUCUCUCAAAUAAAAGUUGAGAGUAAAAGAAUGAAAAAGCAAAAGAGAGAGGAUAAGAAAUGUGUGCUAGAGAAAAAAUCCUUCCAUUUUUUUUACUCUCCACUGCACCUGUGCUUUCAUUAGCUGCGGUUUGGGACUAUCCAAAUUUUUAAGUGUCAUUCUCCUCUCCUAUGUAGUACUCCCUCCGUUCCUAAAUAUUUGUCUUUCUAGAGAUUUCAACAAGUGACUACAUACAGAUGCAUAUAGACAUAUUUUAGAGUGUAGAUUCACUUAUUUUGCUUCGUAUGUAGUCAUUUGUUGAUAUCUCUAGAAAGACAAAUAUUUAGGAAUGGAGGGAGUACAAUUUAGUGCUUCUGCCUACUUAUGUUAAGAUACAACUAUUUAGGAGUUUCUGCCAAGUAAAUAGAAGUGCGCUUUUCCUGACGGGCAUUAGUAUACUUCAGUUCUCUUUUUCGUGCCGAGUAUACUUCAGUUCUACUAAAACAUCCAUCUUAUUUGUAUGCAAAUAUUUGUUAUCAUUCAUGUUAGCUAUAUAUAUAUAUAUACUAAGUUCAACAUGCA